GACGAACGCUGGCGGCGUGCUUAACCCAUGCAAGUCGAACGGAAAGGCCCUGCUUUUGUGGGGUGCUCGAGUGGCGAACGGGUGAGUAACACGUGAGUAACCUGCCCUUGACUUUGGGAUAACUUCAGGAAACUGGGGCUAAUACCGGAUAGGAGCUCCUGCUGCAUGGUGGGGGUUGGAAAGUUUCGGCGGUUGGGGAUGGACUCGCGGCUUAUCAGCUUGUUGGUGGGGUAGUGGCUUACCGAGGCUUUGACGGGUAGCCGGCCUGAGAGGGUGACCGGCCACAUUGGGACUGAGAUACGGCCCAGACUCCUACGGGAGGCAGCAGUGGGGAAUAUUGCACAAUGGGCGGAAGCCUGAUGCAGCAACGCCGCGUGCGGGAUGACGGCCUUCGGGUUGUAAACCGCUUUCGCCUGUGACGAAGCGUGAGUGACGGUAAUGGGUAAAGAAGCACCGGCUAACUACGUG
rnacentral:rRNA from 1 species